CCUACGGGAGGCAGCAGUGGGGAAUUUUGGACAAUGGGCGAAAGCCUGAUCCAGCCAUACCGCGUGCGGGAAGAAGGCCUUCGGGUUGUAAACCGCUUUUGUCAGGGAAGAAAUACUUCGGGCUAAUACCCUGGGGUGAUGACGGUACCUGAAGAAUAAGCACCGGCUAACUACGUGCCAGCAGCCGCGGUAAUACGUAGGGUGCAAGCGUUAAUCGGAAUUACUGGGCGUAAAGCGUGCGCAGGCGGUUCUAUAAGACAGAUGUGAAAUCCCCGGGCUCAACCUGGGAACUGCAUUUGUGACUGUAGAGCUAGAGUACGGUAGAGGGGGAUGGAAUUCCGCGUGUAGCAGUGAAAUGCGUAGAUAUGCGGAGGAACACCGAUGGCGAAGGCAAUCCCCUGGACCUGUACUGACGCUCAUGCACGAAAGACGUGGGGAGGCAAACAGGAUUAGAUACCUGGUAGUCCACGCCCUAAACCGAUAGUCAACUGGUUGUUGGGUAAAGGGUUUCGUUCUUCAGUAACGAAGCUAACGCGUGAAGUUGACCGCCUCGGGGAGUACGGCCGCCAAGGUUGAAACGUCAAAGAAGUAGUAGACGNGNGAGAGUCGACGAGACACACGGAGGAGAGG
rnacentral:rRNA from 1 species